rnacentral:rRNA from 1 species
GAUGAACGCUGGCGGCAUGCCUAAUACAUGCAAGUCGAACGAGAGGAAGGAAAGCUUGCUUUUCUGAAUCUAGUGGCGAACGGGUGAGUAACACGUAGGUAACCUGCCCAUGUGCCCGGGAUAACUUCUGGAAACGGAUGCUAAAACCGGAUAGGUAGCAGACAAGCAUUUGACUGCUAUUAAAGUGGCUAAGGCCAUGGACAUGGAUGGGACUGCGGUGCAUUAGCUAGUUGGUGAGGUAACGGCCCACCAAGGCGACGAUGCAUAGCCGGCCUGAGAGGGCGGACGGCCACAUUGGGACUGAGACACGGCCCAAACUCCUACGGGAGGCAGCAGUAGGGAAUUUUCGUCAAUGGGGGGAACCCUGAACGAGCAAUGCCGCGUGAGUGAGGAAGGUCUUCGGAUCGUAAAGCUCUGUUGUAAGAGGAAAACGACAUUCAUAGGGAAUGAUGAGUGAGUGAUGGUAUCUUACCAGAAAGUCACGGCUAACUACGUGCCAGCCGCCGCUGUAAUAC